UACGUAGGUGGCAAGCGUUGUCCGGAAUUAUUGGGCGUAAAGGGCUCGCAGGCGGUUUCUUAAGUCUGAUGUGAAAGCCCCCGGCUCAACCCGGGGAGGGUCAUUGGAAACUGGGAAACUUGAGUGCAGAAGAGGAGAGUGGAAUUCCACGUGUAGCGGAUGAAAUGCGUAGAGAUGUGGAGGAACACCAGUGGCGAAGGCGACUCUCUGGUCUGUAACUGACGCUGAGGAGCGAAAGCGUGGGGAGCGAACAGG
rnacentral:rRNA from 1 species